CAGCCGCGCGGUAAUACAGAGGGUGCGAGCGUUAAUCGGAUUUACUGGGCGUAAAGCGUGCGUAGGCGGCUUCUUAAGUCGGAUGUGAAAUCCCUGAGCUUAACUUAGGAAUUGCAUUCGAUACUGGGAAGCUAGAGUAUGGGAGAGGAUGGUAGAAUUCCAGGUGUAGCGGUGAAAUGCGUAGAGAUCUGGAGGAAUACCGAUGGCGAAGGCAGCCAUCUGGCCUAAUACUGACGCUGAGGUACGAAAGCAUGGGGAGCAAACAGGAUUAGAUACCCCGGUAGUCCCUGUCUCUUAUACC
rnacentral:rRNA from 1 species